UUCCUUUAUUGCUUUAAAUCC
rnacentral:piRNA from 1 species